rnacentral:rRNA from 1 species
UACGUAGGGAGCAAGCGUUGUCCGGAAUCAUUGGGCGUAAAGCGCGCGUAGGCGGCCUCAUAAGUCCGUUGUGAAAGUCAAAGGCUCAACCUUUGAAAGCCGAUGGAUACUGUGAGGCUAGAGUCCGGAAGAGGCGAGUGGAAUUCCUGGUGUAGCGGUGGAAUGCGCAGAUAUCAGGAGGAACACCAAUAGCGAAGGCAGCUCGCUGGGACGGUACUGACGCUAAGGCGCGAAAGCGUGGGGAGCGAACCGG